AUCAGGUCUCUGCAAAAUGAAAAAGAGGAUGCCGUUUCGGAAAUAUGCAAUGAUAUUAUCAAAGUGUAACGCUGUGACUACAUGUGCGUGGAUUCUGCUUUUUUUGUUUCCUGCUGGACACGGAUUAUUUAACAGCACCUCAGUUCAGACUGUUCAUCGAGGAAUGUCAGUCAAUAUCAGCUGUAACUAUAAACCAUCAAAUGACACAGAAAGUUUCAUAGUGGAACUGCAAACUAA